UACGGAGGAUGCAAGCGUUAUCCGGAAUGAUUGGGCGUAAAGCGUCCGCAGGUGGCUGUGUAAGUCUGCUGUUAAAGAGUGAGGCUCAACCUCAUAAAAGCAGUGGAAACUACACGGCUAGAGUGCGUUCGGGGCAGAGGGAAUUCCUGGUGUAGCGGUGAAAUGCGUAGAUAUCAGGAAGAACACCGGUGGCGAAAGCGCUCUGCUAGGCCGCAACUGACACUGAGGGACGAAAGCGUGGGGAGCGAACAGG
rnacentral:rRNA from 1 species